ACUUGGUGAUGUGGGCAUUUGUCCAAAAGGUCCCUAAAGCGCUCCCAUGUCUCAAAAAAUAGCUUACCAUCCAAUUGUAAGAAACCAGUGAUGGCCUUCCUCAGCU